rnacentral:rRNA from 1 species
UACGUAGGGGGCUAGCGUUGUUCGGAAUUAUUGGGCGUAAAGGGCGCGCAGGCGGCCUUUCAAGUGACGGGUGAAAUCCCCCGGCUUAACCGGGGAACUGCCUGUCAGACUGGGAGGCUUGAGACCGGGAGAGGUGAGUGGAAUUCCCAGUGUAGCGGUGAAAUGCGUAGAUAUUGGGAGGAACACCAGUGGCGAAGGCGGCUCACUGGACCGGUACUGACGCUGAUGCGCGAAAGCGUGGGGAGCAAACAGG